CCUACGGGCGGCUGCAGUGGGGAAUAUUGCACAAUGGGGGAAACCCUGAUGCAGCGACGCCGCGUGAGUGAAGAAUUAUUUCGGUAUGUAAAGCUCUAUCAGCAGGGAAGAAAAUGACGGUACCUGACUAAGAAGCCCCGGCUAACUACGUUCCAGCAGCCGUGGUAAUACGUAGGGGGCAAGCGUUAUCCGGAUUUACUGGGUGUAAAGGGAGCGUAGACGGUAGCGCAAGUCUGAAGUGAAAUCACAUGGCUUAACCAUGGAACUGCCUUGGAUACUGUACAGCUGGAGUGCAGAAGAGGUAGGCGGAAUACCUAGUGUAGCGGUGAAAUGCGUAGAUAUUAGUAGGAACACCAGUGGCGAAGGCAGCUUACUGGACUGUAACUGACGUUGAGGCUCGAAAGCAUGGGGAGCAAACAGGAUUAGAUACCCGGGUAGUC
rnacentral:rRNA from 1 species